AACACAGGAAAGGUACAGCACUACCAAGGACUACAGGGAUCUGGGCAUUCCCGCAGGUGCACGUUUUCACCUAAAAAAACCCUGAACAUAUCACUGUGACCUCCUCCUUAGAUGUACAGUAGUUAGUGGUCUGCCCCCCACUCUAAACCUUCUGCAAAAACAGAAGUAUUACCUUAUUGAGGACAGGCUUUGUGGAGAGAACAUCAUAAAUUGCUGGCUUGCUAUGGUAUCUUUCAAUGAUGUUAAAGAAGUGAGUUCUUGCACAACAGAAGUCACAAGAAACAUAGGACACAAUUAUUGGUGGAACCUGUCCUCUUCUGGAAGGCUGAGUCAUGUGUCAGGUCAAGCAUACUCACUCCCAGAUAUCCAGAGUAGCUGUCCUGGAACGAGUUAUCACACAUCCUUCUCCAGAAUUUUUUCCACCCAGUAUAAAGUAAGCUGGAGCCAGCAGUCUUGUUUUUGCCAGUCUGUCUUUUGCAUCCUGGUAACUGCAGAUAACAAAGUAGUGUUGGACUACUAAAUGCUAUAAAUGGUUCAAGUACUGAAGAACGAGUUUCACAGACCCAGGAAAAGUUUGGGUAGUUACACCUGUCUUCCUCUUUCAUGCACAUAUGAGAAGACUGUAUCACAAUGAAGGAACGCAUUUAAGCAAAGCUCCUCCACUCACUUUGUACUUAAAGUAUGGUUGUUGAGAGGUGCUCUUUGCACUUUUUCUACAUUUAAAACAGGAAUAAAAUGAUGAUGUGCUGUGUCA